UUACAAGGUAUGGACAAAUUUACAGAGCAGUGUUUGAUUCUUAAAUUACAAUAUCUUUUACAAAGUUAAGUCAAAUUUCUCUAGAGCUUUUUUGCAGCAGCUUCAUCACUAUCCGCCAAGCUUCGGAUCAUUGAUCUUCGGCUUCGUCAUCCUGUAUAUAACAAAGCGGUAUAAGGUAAAUAGAAAUCUCAGGAGAAGGUAAGCAACAGGUACAAGUUUAUUACCGGCUUGAGAUGACUUCGAGCUUCAUCACCAGCUAAGUUUCGCCCACCCUUCAUCCAUAUUUGUGUUAUAAAUCUAUUUCCAAUGCUUCGGGCCAGGCUGGGGAUGUCAGUUAAAUCCGCUGGUGAUAGGCUAAAGUUUGGUCUGUUUAUGAUUUUCCCGUGCGUGCAACCAGUCUUCAUGAAAGCAACAGCUAUGCCGUGAGAAGCUAGCAGGGCACAGAAGUCACCGUGCCCAGCUAUAACUUCAUCAAGCGCAUCAACCUCGCCCUCAAUAUGUUCGAAGGUGCUUGACAGGUCUUCAACUGAAGGUUCAAAUUUUACAGAACUGGCUCCAACUGAGUUGAAGACCUGCUUCAGUCGUUGCACGCACCGGUUGUCGAAGUUUAAGCAUUUAUCCUGAAGCUCUUUCAAGGAUUUUUGCAAAUUCGAACUCUUUUCGACUUCGGCUUGAAGCUUCGCAUCAAAAUUCUUCUUUUCUUGCUUGAAGCUUUCUGACUUCAGGGGAAUUCACUGUUUAAUCUAGCAAUUUCAGCUUGGGCUUCUACCAGUGAACCCUCCAUUGUUUGAAGAACAAAAUCUUUAUUUUCAAGAGCAGCUUCAUGAUCUUUGAUUUUACUCUCCAAGCCUUCAUUUAUAACCUCAUUUUUCUUAUCUUCGAGGUCUUGUUGCAUCCUCAAGGCUUUACUUAAUAGCAUACUUUGUGCAAAAUAACCUUCAUUAGCAAUCACCUUCAUCGUAAAACAAUGAAAAGUCGAGGGAAAAAUUUUACCUUGAAAUUAGAAUAGAAUAAACUGCCGACGAUAUGUUGUCGUCGGUAGCGACUGAUGUCAGCUUCAAGCUUCGGAAAACCAACACUCUUCGACAGAGUGAUGAUAAUCUUUGCUCUAGUUCGAUCUCGAAUACAUCCUAAGCUUUCUUUGUUAAUUCCGCCGAAGAGCAUCGCUCCUGGCUGGUAGCCACAAGAUAUAGCAUACUCCUGCAGCUCCUCUUUCUCAGCCUUGGAUAAUUCUUGACCAAUUAUAUUUUGAAAAUUGAACCCUUUUUCUUCCGAAAUAUCUUCGGCGAUUUCCUUCCCUUUUUCAGGCACUGUGGCUAGGGUUUCUUCGGCAGCUGCAGCAGCUUCUUCCGCGCCAUCUCCAAGAGAAUUUUAUUGAUAUCAGAUAAUAUGCUAUCCAGAUUGGUAGCUUCGGCAGUUGUAGCUUCGGCAGUAGCAGCUUCGGUUGGAGCAGCUUCAAUAGAAGCAGCAGCUUCGGCACCUAGUGCUAUUUUUGACCCUGAGGCCGACGGUGGUUUUUCUUCAAUAGCUUCUAUAACAGUAACAAUCCUUCGCUUUUUUGGCCCAACCAUCUUCUUCGUUGCCGAAGGUGCAUCCGUCUUCUGUAAAAGCUUCGUCAGUUCUGGCCCCAGUGGACUUAGCAGCUUGACAGGUAAGGAUUCGGUCAUUACCUUUAAAAUUUCUUCUACUUCGGCAGCAGAAGGUGUCGAAGGAGCUCCCUCUUCUAUCUCAGCCAUCUUCAGCUCUGGAGUUGUAGUCCUUCUCCUCUUCGAGGUUGCCACCUUCAGCUCAAGACUGGUUUUCUUCUUUUUCAAAGAUUUUUCAUCUUCUUUUACAAUCCUAGCAGCCUGUCUGCUCAAAACACUAACAACUCUCUUCCUUUUUACCCCUUCGACACCCUUGUUGAGACGCUCGUAAUCAGGAUAUUCAAAAUUCAGAGCGUCCAUUACGCGUUUUAACCUUCGUUUCGGUCGGGUGCCGAAGGCUGCAGUCAUCAGUUGAUCCUCUUUUUUGGUGUAAUUUCCCAGCACUUCAUUACACACUGUUUCAAUCAUUUCCAGCCACUCUUGGCAAGGUCUUUUAAUUUUUUUUCAAAUUUAAACCGAUAAGGAAGUCGCACAAGCUCAAGUCCCUUCUUCGUUCCUUUUAGCUUCCGCAUGCUAAACUCGCUUAAGGUCAGAGAUGUUCUGUUAGCUAAAUAUUCUUGAACUAGAUCUCUGGUGCUGAUCUGUUCGGCUACCACCCUGAAUUCUGCUACAUCUUGUUGGCAUGGUGACCCCAACGUCAUGCGGCACAGGGGCCUAGUCAACCCGAAGUAGCCACUUCAUCACUUCUCGGUGUCGGAGUGGUUUCUUCCCCAGCAAAACAAAUCAGGUUCUUCUCAGCUUCUCCGAAGUAGCCCAGCUUUGUCAUCAUGGGCAUAUCAGCUUCAGAAAUGGUAGAUUUUCCAAAAUCCAAGUGGCUAGGUUUUGAUGGGAUCAGAAUGCUAUAAUCUUCUUCUUCUUCCUCAUUAGCAAUUUCUUCCUCAACAUCUUGUUCAGUUUCGGCAGCAGGUGCACCUUGUUCAGUGGCUUCCUCUGUCACAACUAGUCCCGAUUGUUUCAUCACUUCGGAGAUCUGGGCAGUCUCGGUGGCUUCGGCCUUCUCUCUGUCACGGGUCACCCUUGCAGUUGAACGUACUCUGGCCAUCUGAUGUUAAAUUUCUUGCAGUUCUUACGAAGUUGAUGAUUUUUACAGUUUUGACGAAGCUUUCUCUUAUGCCGAAGCUAAAUCAAGUUGAUACCUUGCUCGAGAAUGCGAUGAAAAAGCUUCGGCUAUGGUUAAAUUUUUUAGCAGCACAACAGUGCAAUGGCAAUGAAUACUGUGGUAACUUCACACCUACCCGUCUGUUUAUAUAGUGCUGCAGGUGUGAAGGUGAAUCGUCAAGUUACCCACACCCGCUGAACAGUUACCCGCACCCACUGAACGGUGGACCACUCGACGCGUGGGAGGUGUGAGGCGUGUAUCUGCCGCAUGGUGGACCACCUCGCGCUCGGAAUAUUUUAAUCGUUUCUCGGCAACGAGCUCAGGGAAGGUGUUUUUCGGACCUUCGGCAUUCCAAAGACUUGGAGAUUUUUUCAUGUAUCAAGCUCGUUACGAAAAACGAUCUAGCACCACGAAGGGGCUACUGUUGAGGGUCUGCUUCGUCGUCGAAGGUCCUGUAAGAAGAAACACCUUCGGAAGAUUAGCACAGAAGUAACACCGAAGCUACCUCCCAAGGAGUUUCGGCAUAACGACACGCCUCGAGACGAAGGGUUGCACCGACUUAAAGAUGAAAAGACAGAUUGGCCCAUGAUAAUUUGUGUCAUGAUUAUAAUUAGUUGUAAAGGACAUAAAUGUAAUUUUGACCGGGCUGCGUCCCAUGCCUAUAAAUAGAUGAACAGUACCCCCAUAUUGUUCACGCUGACUUGUAUUCACUCGUACGUCACAUUUGGAUUCUUUAUCUUCUGUUAAGCCAAAGGUACGAAUGUAAAUCAUUAUUGUUCUUAUUUAUUCAUGAUGAUAUAAUGACGUCAUAUGAUUAUCCAUGUUAUUUCUCAUGUCACAUAUGCUUCGUCUUUCAUCAAUACAUACUGAGAUCAUGAAGGUACGUCCUUCAUGACCUUCGUCCGAAGAUCGUUAUAUCCUAAGGGAAAUAAUGCUUCGAAGGACGAAGGACCUUAACCAUUAACCUCUCUUUUGUGUUGCCUUGUUCUUAAUUUAUAGCAUUUGAGAACAAGUUCCCAACACUGCUCUUCACCUGGAGGGAGGUUUAUAUAUCGCAAGGGUGAGCUCACAAAAGAUCAUAGCUCAACAAGUUAUGGGGAAUAAUGUGCAUGAACUCACCAAAGGUGGGAGCUCAUGAGAAGUGUAAGGCUGAUCAACAAAUAAUGAUUAAAGCUAAGCAUUGCUUUUAAUAAGUUGGUCAAAUUUUAUUAGCAGCUACUAAAUGUAAGUAUAUACCAAACCAGAGUAAUAAUAGAUCAAAAUGAAUAAUAAAACCACAAUGCGAUGCAAAUGGAAAAUUGUAUUUACUUCCAUAAAUUAAUCAUGUGAGUGUCCAAGCCUCUUACAACCGUGAGCAUGGCUGAUAUACCAGUUUACACUCUGCAGAGGUUGCACAUCUUUACCCACAAGCCAUGCUACCCAUUUUCCAAGGGGUCAAGAAGUCCCAUUCAUCUCUACCAAGGAGACGAGGCAGGAUAGCACUACGAGGCCUUUCCAAAGUUCUACUAGUUUGAGAAAACCCGCUACAGAUUCAGGAAGAAGGAAUCAUAGGAAUCCCUCGUCCGGAAAGCUAAACAGGCAGUCCGACCCGAGAACCUCCCUAUACUCUACAGUGAUGCCUCCCUGCUUGCCCCUUUCAGGUAAGGUUGUCUCUCCCUAGCUUUCCUAAUUAUUUGGCCAAGGGUGUCCCAUUCCACCCUUGUGGUAGCAAUGUUUUCCCGGGUGGUUCUCCAUGUUCCAAUUAACAUAGUAAUCUUAUCAUGAACAAUAAAUAAUCAACAGUAAUAAUAAAGAAUGAUCAUGUGUCAAAAUUAUCUUAACACCCAAAACCACAUAUAGCAAUAGCAGAACUACCCAAAAGUUCAUUGGUAAACAAGGUAUGAAGAUUAUCAAACUAGGGUGACCUAAUGGGUCCCAUCAAAAUUAAGCCUAAUCAUGCUAAAGUGAUUAUAGAGAACAUUAUUGGUAAAUAAAAGUGGUCAAGGGCACAACUUGCCUUCAAUGAGCUCCUGCUUAGUAUUUUCCACCUGCUGAGUACUGGGGUCCUCGGUCGCUUGCUCGUCUACUCGCAACAAUACAAACAAACAUGGUAUAGGAGAAAUUAACAUCACACCAAACAUUAGAACAUAAUGCAUGAUAAUAUUCUAUGCAUCAUAAUCAGAUCCUAGGUUCGAGAACCACUAAAUUCAGAGUUAAGGUUAAAGAGUUAUGAUUUUCCGAAGAUUUAGUUGUUAGAUUUAAAACAAAUUAAGUGUAUAAUUUUAUCCUAUGUUUCAUAACAAAAUAAAGUUACCAGACGAUAAACAAUAUUAUAUGAAUUAAUGCAACUGGAAUGGGCCAAAAAGAGUUAAAAUGGAUUAAUUAUGAAUUAAACAAGUUUCUGGAAUUAUUUUCAUACUAAAAAUCAUUUUCAAUAUUAAUUUACUAUUUUCCUUGAUUGCCUAUGGACUACGGACGCAAAAAUUUGAAAGCACAGUGAUGACCUUGUAAAUUUUGGGACCUUUUAGUGAUGUUUCUCGUGUCUAGGCGGACGACGAGUUAAUUCUUACUAUUAUCGAAGAUUCAUAUGUAAAAUUCCCUAGCUGAAGGGUUAUAGGUAUAUUGCUGCCGUCGGAUUUGAAUCAUACGGCUCAGAUUAGAUCGAUCACAUAAUGAAACGGUACGCAGCGUAGACCGCUGGAUCUGAGAUCUACGAUCCGGAUUCUAAAUGACCGAGAUCCAUUCGUACCCAUCGGAUAAUAUAUCUAUGGCCCAGGUUCUGUUGGACGAAGGGGUAAGCUAUCUUCUAAUCCCAGUCGUUCGCCAUUAGAUCAACGGCUGGCGGCUUCUCUUCUCCUAUCGGCCCAAGGACACAGCGGCGCCACCGCUGUGCUGGUGGCGACUACGCCGGUGAACCGCGGUCCCGUGCCCAAGGACACUACCCCAUGUCCGAUAGUGUCGACACGAUGCGAAAUUGAUGGCAAACACAUGGGUGAAUGACUUACCGGUUGUGGCGCAGUAGAAACUCCCGACCACAGAAUAGGGCUACCCGCGAUGGAACUCAGUCGACGACAAGAAGUCGCCCUCGCUCCGCGGGUCCCGCGCCUGAUUACACCCUUGCGCACAAUCAACACACACGUUAGGACACCUGGGAUCACACCAUAGAAGUUGGGUGGUGACCACGGCGACGAAUGACGAUGGCAGAUCUCAUGGCACGAAAUGGGUCUCGGUGGCGUUGCAUGGUAUGUGGUGGCUGCUUAGUGAUUCUUCCGCGAGAUAGCAGGAGGGGGCCAUAAGAACCUUGGGGCUUUAUUCCCCGGUCGAGGUGGAUCCGAG
rnacentral:lncRNA from 1 species